UGGGAUGUAACUUGGUGACAGAGUGCUUGCUUAGCAUGCAAAAGACCCUGGGUUCCAUUCCCAGUGUUGCAA
rnacentral:tRNA from 1 species